ensembl:lncRNA
CCUAGUGAACCUGCUCAGGCAUCCACUAUGUGACUGGCAGGAUCAUUAUCUGCAGAGGAUAGUCCACCUCACCCCACACUCCCCUCUCCCAAAGGACGCCUCACCUGGGAGGGGAAGACAGAGGAGGGGGAGUCUCUUCUCCCCAUCCCAUUAAUCUCCAGGAGCUUCUUGGUUUUGUGACAAUCUGCUCUCCUCCCACCCCUCCACCCCUCCUCUCGCCAUGGGGAGGGUGAAUUAGACUCAAAAAUGACUGUGUGCAGCACAAGUCAAGUAUUACUGGGGCCUAUGAAUGGCAAUAAAAAGAGCCUCAGCUCUAAUCACACAAAUAUGAAAAUUGAUAUUUAGACGAAGUUUUAUCUCAUGGUUGUGUUCCAUCACUAAACCCAGAAGAAAGUGUUUUACACUUAAGAAUAUAGGAAGUUCCAGCUAAAAUGCUAAUGGUCUAAAAUGUUGGAGGGGCUGGCAGAAGCUUCUCAAAGCUGCAAGCAAUUGAGAGGCAGGCACUUGAGCACUGUUCAGGAGUCAAUGGUGCCUUCGUUCUGCAGGAGCUAGUGGUCCCUAACUGGAAGCACACAUUUUAGACUGAGAAGCUGAGAGCUGCAUCUGGUUAAGCAGGUAUGAAAGGGCAGAUGGCUGUCUCUCCACAACCUUUGCUGUUUUUGGUGAAAAGGAAUUCAACUGUGUUUGGGUGAAAAUGAAGAAGCUCUUUUAUGAACAGCUGCUCACACAAAUCAGGAACCGAGGCCUGGGGCCUGGAGUGACCCCAGCUGAGCAGUAUUUAUCCCUGACUGCCCCUAAUGUCCUACAUGUGGAGCUACCUAAGACCAAACAAGCUGGCUUUGGUGAUGGAAGAUGUGACCAGCCUGCUGGAGACAGAGGGUGAGACCCUGUCCCUGGGGGUAGGAAAAGUGCCCAUCCUGGAAAAGAGAUUCUGUAGCAGGACCUGGCACCUGGGCAGGCAGGCUGGCAACAGCUCUGUGGGAUGCUUUGAAUCUUCCAGGCUCCACCUCUUCCUCCAGACACCGGGCCUCAGGUUGCCUGGUCAUUCUCAGCCGCCUGCCUAGGGUUGUUUCAGGCUGAGGAGUGGAAUGGCCCAGGGAACCUCCUCAACACACGUGAAGCGCAUGGUGUUACAAGCCAUGCAAGCGGUUCUGAGAGGCAUUCCCUAAGCUCCCACAGGCGGUCCCACAGGGUCACAGCAUCGGCUACCCAGAGCUGUGACCAGCUGAACAGUGUAUCCCCGGGUGGCUUUCCCUUCUUCCCGUUCACACUCCUCCCUCACCUUGUGCCCUGGGAUCACAAAAGACCUUGUUUCAGGCUCUGCUUUCCAGGAGCCCAGGCGGACACACAGGGAUGAGUGGAGUGAGGGGGAGCACUCCUCUUCUGGAGCUUCGUGGCUAUCGAUAGACUCAGAAGGGCUCCAUAGUGCUCGGGACGCUCCUGGCGGUGAAGAGACUUGAAUGAGUUUUAGAUGCUGAAGUUUCCUUUACUCUGGAAAACAAGCUGACUGAAGAAUGCUCCAACCAUUGUUCUCGGAGAAAGCAGUAAAGAAACCCUUGACCUAAACACACAUACUGCAGACUCUGAAACCAGCAGAACUGUUUUGUCUGUUAGUGAAAAACAGCUGGUUUUUGUUGGGCAUGGUGAAGUCAGAGCUCUUCCUCUGUAGAUUUCUGUCCUGGACCUGAGUGGUGAGGGGAAGGCAGCCCAGGGGAGACCAGUGGACCAGAAGGAGCCAGAGGAAUUUCUGGAAGCACAAUCAUGCCUUAGUGUAGGCAGAGAUAGCAUCAGGAACUGACGAGGGGCUCGGGGAAAGUACCACGGCCUGGGGACACAGAUGAGAUACUAGGGAUGGAAAGAAGUUUACGUGAGGGCACUCAGGCCUCAUAAUUUGUCUGAAAGUUGGGCAUCCAUGUCCACAUGGCAUCAUUGUUUGCCACUGGCACCAGUCGCAGAGUUGGAGGAUUUAAUUCACCAUCAAUGGCCAGUGUAGCCAGAUGAGGGCAAAGGGCUGGGGUAGCCGGACACGGCCAGGCUGGCUCUGCGAGAAUUCUGAAAACUUGUUCUGCUUCUGCAGCUGCACAUGGAUAAAACAGCCACUGGAUACGGAGGGAGGGCCUGCUGCAGUGACUGUCACAUCCGAGUGUUCUUUAGAUACUGAAAACACUGAAACAAAGACCUUUCAUCUAGCGUGUUUGUUUUUGUUGUAAAUUGAAUAUGCGCUUAUGUUAGAUGAAGAAAAAACUAGAUGAGAAAGCACAUAUCACCUGCAUUCCUGCCGUCCAGCUCUUUCCAUUCACAUUUAAACUCUUUCUAGAAGACUGGGAUAAUCUUCUGUAUUUGUAUUGUAUUUAUUUUCUAAUGGGCUUUUUUAUGAGCGUAUUUUUAAUUAAAUUAAAACAAAUUUAAUGGCUACAUGUCAUUCUGCUUUAUGGCUCUAUAUCCUUUAACUAGUUCUCUAUUGUUGGCCAUUUAGGCUUGUCCUGGUUUUUGUAAUAAUUAACACUCUCAUGGUUAUCUUUCUACAAAAUUCUUUGCCUCAUCCCUGGUAGUUUCUUUAGCGUAGCUUCUCAGGAGUAGAAUUACUGGGACAAGUGACCUGAACUUGGUAAAGCCCACACUACCAAAUUGCCUGCAUCAAGUUGUACUCCCACCAUCUCUAUUAUUGCUUUUGUUACCUUGUGGCAAAAUCUAUUUAUAAGCUAGUUGGUGGGGGUGCGGGUGCUUUUAUUGCAUUGUUCUGGGCUUUGGACUUCCUGGGUGAGACUCCAUUAAGAACUAAGCCAAAUGAACUCAAAACGCCCACCCUGGCCCCUUUAGGGAUGCACCUUCCAACUGCCCAGGAGCCAAGAGGAUGGGAAUGUGUGGUCCAAGGGCUUCCCCAGGCUCCCGGUGACAAGCCCUAAGAGUCCUCAGGGUGGGCCUCCUCAAAUUGGGGAACAAAGGAGUAGCCCAGCUCGUCCUAGGCAGUCUGCUUAGCCUGGGUGUUCCAGGUCCUAGUCGCUCCAUGAUUAUCAGUGAUAAGCCAUGCUUCUGAGAGAGGCCAUUGUGCUGAAUCUGUGUCACCUCUGGAUUUCAUGCACAAACAGGGCCCUUUGGAGCACCAGAGCUGGGAUCACCGGAGGGUGGAGGUGGCUCAGCUGUGAGACCACUGGCUGCUGAGGUGGGCUAGGGCAUCUUGCAGGGCCGGUCUCCUCCCCUCAGCUGGGACCUCCUCCUGCACACUCGCCUCAGAAGGGAACUGGUGGGAGGGGAAGGGCUGGACCAGUGCCAUCCAAGAGAAAUUUUAAAAGAAGUUAAAAACAUGGCUCUCAAACAAAAGAGAAUGACCAUGCAUCCAAAAUUUCAUUCAGCUCCUCAAUUCAGGAGGAAGCCAGGAAGUUGGUAAUGUGGGCU